rnacentral:rRNA from 1 species
UACAGAGGGUGCAAGCGUUGUUCGGAAUUAUUGGGCGUAAAGGGCGCGUAGGCGGUGCCACAAGUCACCUGUGAAAUCUCCGGGCUUAACUCGGAGCCUGCAGGCGAAACUGUGGUGCUGGAGUGUGGGAGAGGUGCGUGGAAUUCCCGGUGUAGCGGUGAAAUGCGUAGAUAUCAGGAAGAACACCUAUGGCGAAGGCAGCUCUCUGGGACGGUACUGGACGCUGAGACGCGAAAGCGUGGGGAGCGAACAGG